rnacentral:lncRNA from 1 species
ACCCAUCAGCAAUCUCUAUCUUAUCUCCAUUUAAUAAUACAGCAACCGAAAAACGGUGUCGUUUCAUGCCUUUCAUGAUGAUGACUCACUCAACUCAGCGUAACAUUGCAUACUCCGUGAAUAUACUUAUAUUAUUACUUUGUCUUCACACUUCUUCACCACACUAAACCUUUUCUCUCCAACCUCUGUUCUUCUUCAUUUCUUCGAUCUAAAUCCAAUGGCCAAAGACCCAGUUCGUGUUCUUGUCACUGGUGCUGCA